CCUACGGGAGGCAGCAGUGAGGAAUAUUGGUCAAUGGACGCAAGUCUGAACCAGCCAUGCCGCGUGCAGGAAGACGGCUCUAUGAGUUGUAAACUGCUUUUGUACGAGGGUAAACGCAGAUACGCGUAUCUGUCUGAAAGUAUCGUACGAAUAAGGAUCGGCUAACUCCGUGCCAGCAGCCGCGGUAAUACGGAGGAUUCAAGCGUUAUCCGGAUUUAAUGGGUUUAAAGGGUGCGUAGGCGGUCGGAUAAGUUAGAGGUGAAAUCCCGAGGCUCAACUUCGGAAUUGCCUCUGAUACUGUUCGGCUAGAGAGUAGUUGCGGUAGGCGGAAUGUAUGGUGUAGCGGUGAAAUGCUUAGAGAUCAUACAGAACACCGAUUGCGAAGGCAGCUUACCAAGCUACUUCUGACGUUGAGGCACGAAAGCGUGGGGAGCAAACAGGAUUAGAUACCCCAGUAGUC
rnacentral:rRNA from 1 species